UUGAACCCUUCAGAGUCAUCCUUGACAGCUAAAAUCAACUUCUUCCAAACUCCUGCUAAUGUUGACAUUUUGACCUCCUCCCGUGAAUUGUGAAUGUUCUUAAUGGCAUCUAGAAUGGUGAACGUUUUCCAGAAGGUUUUCAAUUUACUUUGCCUAGACCCAUCAGAGGAAUUACUAUUUAUGGUAGCUAUAUCCUUAUGAAAU